GACGAACGCUGGCGGCGUGCAUAACACAUGCAAGUCAAGGGGGCCCGCAAGGGCAACCGGCGAACGGGUGCGUAACACGUAAGCGACCUACCUCGAUGUGGGGCAUAGCCGGCCUAACGGCCGGGUAAUUCCGCAUACGCUCUUGGAGGGGCAUAUCUCCGAGAUGAAACCAGCAAUGGGCAUUGAGAGGGGCUUGCGGCCUAUCAGCUAGUUGGUGAGGUAACGGCNCACCAAGGCUACGACGGGUAGCUGGUCUGAGAGGAUGGCCAGCCACAUUGGGACUGAGAAACGGCCCAGACUCCUACGGGAGGCAGCAGUGGGGAAUAUUGGACAAUGGGCGCAAGCCUGAUCCAGCCAUGCCGCGUGAGUGA
rnacentral:rRNA from 1 species